rnacentral:rRNA from 1 species
CAUGCAAGUCGAGCGCCCCGCAGGGGAGCGGCMGACGGGUGAGUAACGCGUGGGAAUCUACCCUUUUCUACSGAAUAACGCASGGAAACUUGUGCUAAUACCGUAUACRCCCUUCGGGGGAAAGAUUUAUCGGGAAAGGAUGAGCCCGCGUUGGAUUAGCUAGUUGGUGGGGUAAAGGCCUACCAAGGCGACGAUCCAUAGCUGGUCUGARAGGAUGAUCAGCCACAUUGGGACUGAGACACGGCCCAAACUCCUACSGGAGGSAGCMKKGGGGAAUAUUGGACAAUGGGCGCAAGCCUGAUCCAGCCAUGCCGCGUGAGUGAUGAARGSCCUARGGUUGUAAAGCUCUUUCACCGGUGAAGAUAAUGACGGUAACCGGASAAKAAGCCCCGGMUAACUUCKUGCCAGCARCCGCGGKAAUACGAAGGGGGCUAGCGUUGWUCRGAAUUACUGGGCGUAAAGCGCACSUASGCGGACAUUUAARUCRGGGGUGAAAUCCCKGGGCUCAACCSCGGAACUGCCUUUGAUACUGGGUGUCUAGAGUAUGGAAGAGGUGAGUGGAAUUCCGAGUGUAGAGGUGAAAUUCKU